rnacentral:snRNA from 1 species
GUGCAUGCUUCGGCAACACAUACAUUAAAAUUGGAGUGAUGCAGAGAUGGCCCCUGAGCAAAGAUGACACACAAAUUUGUGAAGUGUACCAUAGCAAA